CGCGGCCUAUCAGCUUGUUGGUGAGGUAACGGCUCACCAAGGCAUCGACGGGUAGCUGGUCUGAGAGGAUGAUCAGCCACACUGGGACUGAGACACGGCCCAGACUCCUACGGGAGGCAGCAGUAGGGAAUAUUGCACAAUGGGCGAAAGCCUGAUGCAGCAACGCCGCGUGCGGGAAGAAGGCCCUAGGGUUGUAAACCGCUUUCAGCAGGGAAGAAAAUGACGGUACCUGCAGAAGAAGCGCCGGCCAACUACGUGCCAGCAGCCGCGGUAAUACGUAGGGCGCAAGCGUUGUCCGGAUUUAUUGGGCGUAAAGGGCUCGUAGGCGGUUUGGUAAGUCGGGUGUGAAAACUCAGGGCUCAACUCUGAGACGCCACUCGAUACUGCCAUGACUAGAGUCCGGUAGGGGAGUGCGGAAUUCCUGGUGUAGCGGUGAAAUGCGCAGAUAUCAGGAGGAACACCAACAGCGAAGGCAGCACUCUGGGCCGGUACUGACGCUGAGGAGCGAAAGCGUGGGGAGCGAACAGGAUUAGAUACCCUGGUAGUCCACGCCGUAAACGGUGGGAACUAGAUGUGGGGUCCGUUCCACGGAUUCCGUGUCGCAGCUAACGCAUUAAGUUCCCCGCCUGGGGAGUACGG
rnacentral:rRNA from 1 species